rnacentral:rRNA from 1 species
UCUUUAUUGAGAGUUUGAUCCUGGCUCAGGAUGAACGCUGGCGGCGUGGAUAAGGCAUGCAAGUCGAAUGGGUUUAGACCCAUGGCAAACGGGUUCAGAUAACAUAGGAAUUUACCCUUGAGUCGUGAAUAAUCUGGAGAAAUCCAGGCUAAUACACGAUACCCUCUACGGAGGAAUGGUUUACCGCUCGAGGAGGAGCCUGUGUCCUAUCAGCUUGUUGGUGAGGUAAUGGCUCACCAAGGCUAUGACGGGUAGGGGGUGUGAGAGCACGGCCCCCAACAUUGGAACUGAGACACUGUCCAAACACCUACGGGUGGCUGCAGUCGAGAAUAUUCCACAAUGGACGAAAGUCUGAUGGAGCGACGCCGCGUGCAGGAUGAAGGCCUUCGGGUUGUAAACUGCUUUUCUACGGGAAGAAUUUCGAUGACGGUACCGUAGGAAUAAGAGGUUACUAACUC